GAGCAAAAUGCCUGUUAACCGAAGUUUGAUUAAGAUUCUCUCCCUUCCCCAGGUCCCUGAACUUUGGCCUACCCUCAGCCUGUGUGAGUGAUAGAGAUAGGAGGCAGCCAAGGGUCCCCGGAGAAACCCCGCCUUCAAGCCUAAAACAGCUUGAAGGCUGAAAAACCAAACUGCCGGUCCCAGAUGAAGCCCACCCUUUUCCCGACUGAUUCGUUCUGAAUAAUGCGCACAUGCGCACUAGCGAGGACAGGCUGGAGCCUCUCGAAGUUUGCGCCCUUUGCAGGGGGGAGGAGCCUGGCCUCUCCAGUUCCUGUGUGGUAACCUGAGAUUCAAUCUGUGAGGCAGGAAACCUGCUAGCAGGGCUCUCUCUCUCUUUGCUGUGGGUUCCUGUUUACCUUUUUCUUAUAUUUUUUCCUUUUCAUCCAAUAAAUUCCAUUCCCCCUCACCCGUCAAAGUGUCUGUGUGCCUAACUUUUACUGGUUGUAUGACAAGAACCCAGUGUUUUCUACAACAUUUUUGGCGUCCGGACGUGGGGCUUGAAGAAGGGUUCAAGCAAUUCUCCUGCCUCAGCCUCCGAAGUAGCUGGAACUACAGGAGAAGGAGGGGAGAGGAAAAGAAAAAGGAAGUAAGAUCGAGAAGCUGUGGGGCCAAAGAAUGGAACAGAAUGUUGCAAUGGAGUGCUGAUUACUCUUCAGCACCAUUCUGGGAAGGAAAUGCCAAGACCACUCCCAUCUCUCAGAAUUACUCAUCUGAGGGUCAUCGUAAAGAACAAAAGAAGAGCACAUGUAUGGCUACAUUGCAUGCAAGUAUGCAAUAUUUUUAUUAUAAACUACAUUUUGAAAAGUUAGGAAAUUAAAGCUCUAAAUGCUGAAUCACUUACCCAAUUUCAUUGGGUCAUUUUCUGUUUAAGGAACUCUCGCAACUUCAAGCUCUGUUCCCUUUCCUCUAAACCUUGAACCUUCUCUUUUGUCUGGAAAGACAAAGUGUCAUAUAAUUUAAAAAAAUUUAAUCUUUAAUUAAGUACUACCUAGAGUGUCACAAUAUGAUGAUAAAUGUGUAUUUCUUUAUAAUUAACUCUAUUCCCAAAUCCCCACCUUGUUAAAACUGAG
rnacentral:lncRNA from 1 species